rnacentral:rRNA from 1 species
GAUGAACGCUGGCGGCGUGCCUAAUACAUGCAAGUAGAACGCUGAAGGAGGAGCUUGCUCUUCUGGAUGAGUUGCGAACGGGUGAGUAACGCGUAGGUAACCUGCCUGGUAGCGGGGGAUAACUAUUGGAAACGAUAGCUAAUACCGCAUGACAACAGUUAUUGCAUGAUAACUGUUUAAAAGGGGCAACUGCUCCACUACCAGAUGGACCUGCGUUGUAUUAGCUAGUUGGUGAGGUAACGGCUCACCAAGGCGACGAUACAUAGCCGACCUGAGAGGGUGAUCGGCCAAACUGGGACUGAGACACGGCCCAGACUCCUACGGGAGGCAGCAGUAGGGAAUCUUCGGCAAUGGACGGAAGGCUGACCGAGCAACGCCGCGUGAGUGAAGAAGGUUUUCGGAUCGUAAAGCUCUGUUGUAAGAGAAGAACGAGUGUGAGAGUGGAAAGUUCACACUGUGACGGUAUCUUACCAGAAAGGGACGGCUAACUACGUG